GUGAGCAGCACAGAAUGGAGGAGGAAUCCAAAAACACAGGCACAAGGAGAGGUACCGUCAGUGAGGUCAAUCCACCUUAGGAAACAGGACCUGAAGAACCUUCCAGUCUGCCAGCUCGCUGCCCAGUGAAUUCUCCCUACCAAGAACACAAUCAAGGGACC